rnacentral:sRNA from 1 species
UGGGGAAGAAGGGGGGACCCCACUGGGUUGUG